CAAGCUAGAUAAGGGCGUAUGGGGAAUGCCUAGGCUCUCAGAGGCGAAGAAGGACGUGAUAAGCUGCGAAAAGCUGCGGGGAUUGGCACAUACAAGUUGAUCCGCAGAUAUCCGAAUGGGGCAACCCGGUAUACUGAAGGUAUAUCAUCCGCAAGGAGGCAAACCCGGAGAACUGAAACAUCUAAGUACCCGGAGGAAGAGAAAACAAUAGUGAUUGCGCUAGUAGCGGCGAGCGAACGCGCAUUAGCCCAAACCAUAAGGUUUACGGACCUUAUGGGGUUGUAGGACCACAAUAUUUGUUACAAACAGAAUUAGAACAGGUUGGAAAGCCUGGCCAUAGACGGUGACAGCCCGGUAUAGGUAAAGAAUGUAACGAUAGUGGUAUCCUGAGUAGUGCGGGGCACGAGAAACCCUGUAUGAAUCCGGCGGGACCAUCCGCCAAGGCUAAAUACUCCUGAGAGACCGAUAGUGAACCAGUACCGUGAGGGAAAGGUGAAAAGAACCCUGAACAAGGGAGUGAAAUAGAUCCUGAAACCAUACGCUUACAAGCGGUCGGAGCCCUUCGGGGUGACGGCGUGCCUUUUGCAUAAUGAGCCUACGAGUUACCGUUUCCAGCAAGGUUAAGCAGUUCAGCUGUGGAGCCGUAGCGAAAGCGAGUCUUAAUAGGGCGUUUUAAGUUGGUAAUGGUAGACGCGAAACCGUGUGAUCUACCCUUGGGCAGGUUGAAGCUGUGGUAACACAUAGUGGAGGACCGAACCCGUUGACGUUGAAAAGUCUUGGGAUGACCUGAGGGUAGGGGUGAAAGGCCAAUCAAACUCGGAAAUAGCUCGUACUCCCCGAAAUGCAUUUAGGUGCAGCGGUAUAAUAGUUUUAUAGAGGUAGAGCUACUGAUUGGAUGCGGGGGCUUCACCGCCUACCAAUUCCUGACAAACUCCGAAUGCUAUAAAAUGUUUUAUAUCAGUGAGGGCAUGGGUGCUAAGGUCCGUGUCCGAGAGGGAAAGAACCCAGACCAUCAGCUAAGGUCCCCAAAUAUAUGUUAAGUUGAAGAAACGCGGUUGGACUGCCCAGACAGCUAGGAUGUUGGCUUGGAAGCAGCCAUUCAUUUAAAGAGUGCGUAACAGCUCACUAGUCGAGCGGUCCGGCAUGGAUAAUAAUCGGGCAUAAACAUAUUACCGAAGCUAUGGAUU
rnacentral:rRNA from 1 species